rnacentral:rRNA from 1 species
CGGGCGUAGCAAUACGUCAGCGGCAGACGGGUGAGUAACGCGUGGGAACGUACCUUUUGGUUUCGGAACAACACAGGGAAACUUGUGCUAAUACCGGAUAAGCCCUUACGGGGAAAGAUUUAUCGCCGAAAGAUCGGCCCGCGUCUGAUUAGCUAGUUGGUAGGGUAAUGGCCUACCAAGGCGACGAUCAGUAGCUGGUCUGAGAGGAUGAUCAGCCACAUUGGGACUGAGACACGGCCCAA